UACAGAGGUCCCAAGCGUUGUUCGGAUUCACUGGGCGUAAAGGGUGCGUAGGUGGUUGGGUAAGUCUGAUGUGAAAUCUCCGGGCUCAACCCGGAAAUGGCAUUGGAUACUAUCCAGCUGGAGGGUCGGAGGGGGGACUGGAAUUCUUGGUGUAGCAGUGAAAUGCGUAGAUAUCGGGAGGAACACCAGUGGCGAAGGCGACUUCCUGGCCUGUUCUUGACGCUGAGGCGCGAAAGCUAGGGGAGCAAACGGG
rnacentral:rRNA from 1 species